rnacentral:lncRNA from 1 species
CUCUGAAGUAAUUUGAGGAAACUCCUUUUUUUCUUUUAGGAAGGAUGUCAUUAUACAGUUUCUAAGGUUAAUUCUGCUUAGAGAAAAAUAUUGAUGCGAAACAGCCUUGAAACUUUAGGAUGCCGGCAGAGAGCAUCUACAUAAUUAGAAGCCUUCUUGCAGUAUCUCUAGUGCGUCGUGGAAACAGGAUGGUGGAAGUAACAAAGCCCCUGUGAAGAUCGCUGCUUUCACAAAGCAGUAGCUACAGAUGUCCCACCUGGCUUGACCUGAGCUCCACGCGAGGGCCUAAACCCAGUUAAACACUGAGCAGUUGUUACAGCCAUCGUAUCACUAGACGGAGAGAAUGUUGAGAAUAAAAGCCAAUAUGCAAAGAGGGGUAAAGUGAAGAGGAGAUGAUAAUAUCCCAGCUCUUAGAAAAUCUUAACACGUAAAAUAGACACUUCAUGAUUAAUCCAUUAUUGUGACCUGGGACUCCUGUAACGUAUAACCAAGAGGAUCCUAUGUGAAGCAGGGGGC